rnacentral:precursor_RNA from 9 species
UGUGAUUGACAGCUAAUCUUGAUGUUUGUGUAAUCUCAGCUGGUAAUUCUGAGUUCUAAUAAAUACUAAUUUUCUCAAGUUACUUGCCGAGAUUAUAUAAAUAUUACGUUAUACAGCAUGAGUUUAA